UUCCGGUUGAUCCUGCCGGACCCGACUGCUAUCAGAAUAGGACUAAGCCAUGCGAGUCAACGUAGUAAUACGUGGCAUACGGCUCAGUAACACGUAGUCAACAUGCCCAGAGGACGUGGAUAACCUCGGGAAACUGAGGAUAAACCGCGAUAGGUCAUAAUAUCUGGAAUGAUUUAUGGUUUAAAUCUAUAUGGCCUCUGGAUUGGACUGCGGCCGAUCAGGCUGUUGGUGAGGUAAUGGCCCACCAAACCUGAAACCGGUACGGGCUCUGAGAGGAGAAGCCCGGAGAUGGGCACUGAGACAAGGGCCCAGGCCCUAUGGGGCGCAGCAGGCGCGAAAACUCUGCAAUAAGCGAAAGCUUGACAGGGUUAUUCUGAGUGAUUUCCGCUAAGGAAAUCUUUUGGCACCUCUAAAAAUGGUGCAGAAUAAGGGGUGGGCAAGCUUGGUGUCAGCCGCCGCGGUAAUACCAGCACCCCGAGUGGUCGGGACGAUUAUUGGGCCUAAAGCAUCCGUAGCCGGUUCUACAAGUCUUCCGUUAAAUCCACCUGCUUAACAGAUGGGCUGCGGAGGAUACUAUAGAGCUAGGAGGCGGGAGAGGCAAGCGGUACUUAGUGGGUAGGGGUAAAAUCCGUUGAUCCAUUGAAGACCACCAGUGGCGAAGGCGGCUUGCCAGAACGCACUCGACGGUGAGGGAUGAAAGCUGGGGGAGCAAACCGGAUUAGAUACCCGGGUAGUCCCAGCUGUAAACGAUGCAGACUCGGUGAUGAAUAGGCUUCGUGCCUAUUCAGUGCCGCAGGGAAGCCGUUAAGUCUGCCGCCUGGGGAGUACGGUCGCAAGACUGAAACUUAAAGGAAUUGGCGGGGGAGCACCACAAGGGGUGAAGCCUGCGGUUCAAUUGGAUUCAACGCCGGG
rnacentral:rRNA from 1 species